GUAGGGAAUAUUGCGCAAUGGACGAAAGUCUGACGCAGCGACGCCGCGUGAGUGAUGAAGGCCUUAGGGUCGUAAAGCUCUGUUGAAUGGGAAGAAAAAAAUGACGGUACCAUUCGAGGAAGGACCGGCUAACUUCGUGCCAGCAGCCGCGGUAAUACGAGGGGUCCUAGCGUUGUUCGGAAUCAUUGGGCGUAAAGGGUGUGUAGGUGGCCAUGUAAGUCAGGUGUGAAAGCCCCGGGCUCAACCCGGGAAGUGCACUUGAUACUGCGUGGCUUGAGUACCGAAGAGGGUAGUGGAAUUCCAGGUGUAGUGGUGAAAUACGUAGAUAUCUGGAGGAACACCGGUGGCGAAGGCGGCUACCUGGUCGAGUACUGACACUGAGACACGAAAGCAUGGGGAUCAAACAGGAUCAGAAACCCGUGUAGUCC
rnacentral:rRNA from 1 species